rnacentral:rRNA from 1 species
UACGGAGGGUGCAAACGUUGCUCGGAAUCAUUGGGCGUAAAGCGCACGUAGGCGGUCCACUAAGUUGGAUGUGAAAGCCCUGGGCUCAACCCAGGAAGUGCAUACAAAACUGGUGGACUUGAAUAUGGAAGAGGGUCGCGGAAUUCCCGGUGUAGAGGUGAAAUUCGUAGAUAUCGGGAGGAACACCAGUGGCGAAGGCGGCGACCUGGGCCAAUAUUGACGCUGAGGUGCAAAAGCGUGGGGAGCAAACAGG